UACGAAGGGGGCUAGCGUUGCUCGGAAUCACUGGGCGUAAAGCGCACGUAGGCGGACUUUUAAGUCGGAGGUGAAAUCCUGGAGCUCAACUCCAGAACUGCCUUCGAUACUGAGAGUCUUCGAGUUCGGGAGAGGUGAGUGGAACUGCGAGUGUAGAGGUGAAAUUCGUAGAUAUUCGGAAGAACACCAGUGGCGAAGGCGACUCACUGGACACAUAUUGACGCUGAGGUGCGAAAGCGUGGGGAGCAAACAGG
rnacentral:rRNA from 1 species